AGUAAGUGGUUUUUCUACCCCUAUUAAUCCAAAAUAAGUUAAUUUAUCAUAAGUAUGCAUAUCCUUCUAAAUGUCGAUUGCAUUAAAAAUGGGGAAUCGUGACAAUUGUCUAAAAUCGCUACAUUUUAGUGUAUAAUAUGUCAGAUUUUAGGACCGAUCUAGUUUAGCUCCUCCACCAAUAGAUUUCCAUGGAUAAUGUUCUAUCCUUGGUCUAUAGUUUAAUUUUUAUUAAUUUUAGAAAAUUUCAAUCAGAAUUCCAAGGAUGUGCAAUUUUGGUUGAAAGCCAUGGGAAUCCCCUGCAAAUCUUGCAAACAAUUCUGCUUGCUGCUAAUAAACACAAGGGUCCCUCUUAUGAUGUGAAUUAGUAGAUUUCAAACUUAAUUGCAGCUGGACUCCAAUCAGGAUGAAGAGAUUUGAGUAAUCCAACAACGCCGGAAACAUGAGGACAAGACAUUGAAGUCCCUGACAUAGUAAUGAAAGAAGUUUUUCGUUUAUCAGAUGGUAGGUCCGAGGGAGAUUGAACUUCACUAUAAGCAGCAAUUAUGUCCACUCCAGGUGCUAUGAUGUCAGGCUGAAACACAUAAAGCCAAAAAUUACCAUACAAUUCAUAGAAUAACUCAAAUUCAUAUAUAAAAUAAGUCUAUUGGUGUUUGAUAA